GCUACAGUUAAUUAAUGAAAUAAUAAAAUCAGAAUCUUUAGAAAUAGAAACCUGUUAUUUUUAUUUUUACAAUCUUUUCCAAAUUGCAGUUACAAAAAAAGAAAAAAAAAACUCAAAAUGGGCAAAUAAGAUGCUUGUAUAAAUGCUCAAGAAGCUGCAGGAGUUAUAUGGCGUGAAAGGGAAAAGGAAGCAGGGGUUAUGGUGAAGGAAACUUCCAUGAAACAUCUCUGAGCAUGCACCACAACAGAUGUUGCUAAUGGAGAAAAGUUGGAUGUACAAGGGCACAGCAUGCCCCGUUCCCCAGCCUGCUUUGCCUUCCCUCAUGCUUAACCCAGACCAUGCAAUGUCUCUUUAGAGUUUCUUCAAGUCCUUGGUUUGCCAGACACAGAAUGUUUGUUUUGCACCGCCCCAACGUACGUAUAAUUUUCAAUUCAAUGCUGCUUAUUAAAUAAGAUCAUAAACUUAAUGUUACCCAGAUGAAAUGCACGAGGUAUGCAUCACCUUUCACUGUUCCAGAGCUGCACAUUUAUGAGACAGCAGUGACAUUACACAGGAACUUUAGCAUAUUCUAAAGGGUUUUACAAAAAUAAAAAGUUCAAAAGUCAUGUAAAUUACAGUUUACAAGACACUCCUGUCUUAACCCUGUUAAAGCCUUUCAUUAUUAUAUUGCUGUAAUUCUGGAAAAGAUAAGAUUUUCCAGUCUUGUCUUUAUUUUAGAAAGGAUUUUGAAUAGUGAGUGCAGGGGUUCACAUAGGUCCUUCAAAUUGCUGUUUUUGGAGUUCCCCAUUCGAGGAUAUACAUGGCCUCUGAAGAUCACAGAGAUUUGUUAAAUCCUGGCUUCCCAAUGUUUUUACAUCCUCUGACAACAGAGGAUCCUGAGACCCUGAGUGAUUCUGAGAUACAGAAGAGGAGUCGUGAGAGACAUCAUCACAGUCUAAGGGCUGGAGUUUGCUGGAAUAUUUCUGGAGAACUGUCUCCUUUAAACUUCUCACCAUCUCUAAAUGUAAUAAGAAAAACUAUAUAAAACUGUCAAUAUUUAGGUCCUAUUUUUCCUCUGAGUUCAUAAAGCAUCCAGUAUUUUCCUUAUAUUUUCCUAUUCUGCUUACAUAGAAAACACAAGUUUGGAGACACUGUUUUUUAUUUCUAGAUGAAUACACCAUACUUACCACUACUUUGCAUUAUUCUCUCCUCUGCUUUUUGAUUCCACAAAAGACUUCAGCACCACGUGUUUCCAUGUCUUUAUUAGUUAUCCACAGAGACUGUAAUCAUCAGGAAACGGGUCCUUCGUUCACAACUCAAAAUCACCAUGGAUAAGUAAACAGUUGAGUAAAAUUUAAAGAAAACAUGUGGCAAUGUAUAUCACUAUUCCAUGUGAGGUGAUAUUUACUAGCAAAAAUCACCUGUGUUUCAAGCUCUAUCUUUCAUUUAUCUAUUUAUAGGAAUAAACAAGUAUAUGCACACA
rnacentral:lncRNA from 1 species